rnacentral:rRNA from 1 species
UGCCAGCCGCCGCGGUAAUACGGAGGGGGUUAGCGUUGUUCGGAAUUACUGGGCGUAAAGCGCACGUAGGCGGACUGGAAAGUUGGGGGUGAAAUCCCAGGGCUCAACCCUGGAACUGCCUCCAAAACUAUCAGUCUAGAGUUCGAGAGAGGUGAGUGGAAUUCCGAGUGUAGAGGUGAAAUUCGUAGAUAUUCGGAGGAACACCAAACGCGAGGGCAUUCUGCUGGUCAUUACCUGACGCUGAGGGACGAAAGCGUGGGGAGCGAACGGGAUUAGAUA